UACGUAGGUGGCAAGCGUUGUCCGGAUUUACUGGGCGUAAAGCGCCCGCAGGCGGCUUGGCAAGUUUGGGGUGAAAUCUCCCGGCUCAACUGGGAGGGUGCCUCGAGAACUGCCAGGCUUGAGGCAUGGAGAGGGAUGCGGAAUUCCCGGUGUAGUGGUGAAAUGCGUAGAUAUCGGGAGGAACACCAGUGGCGAAGGCGGCAUCCUGGCCAUGUCCUGACGCUCAGGGGCGAAAGCGUGGGGAGCAAACCGG
rnacentral:rRNA from 1 species